rnacentral:rRNA from 1 species
CCUACGGGAUGCAGCAGUGGGGAAUCUUGGACAAUGGGCGCAAGCCUGAUCCAGCCAUGCCGCGUGAGUGAAGAAGGCCUUAGGGUUGUAAAGCUCUUUUGGCAGGGACGAUAAUGACGGUACCUGCAGAAUAAGCCCCGGCAAACUUCGUGCCAGCAGCCGCGGUAAUACGAAGGGGGCUAGCGUUGUUCGGAAUUACUGGGCGUAAAGCGCACGUAGGCGGGUCGUUAAGUCAGGGGUGAAAUCCCGGAGCUCAACUCCGGAACUGCCUUUGAUACUGGCGAUCUAGAGAUCGAGAGAGGUGAGUGGGAUUCCGAGUGUAGAGGUGAAAUUCGUAGAUAUUCGGAAGAACAUCAGUGGCGAAGGCGGCUCACUGGCUCGAUACUGACGCUGAGGUGCGAAAGCGUGGGGAGCAAACAGGAUUAGAUACCCGAGUAGUC